GGCUUAUUUGAAUAUGUCAUAAUACCAUUCAGCCAAACACAUGCGAAACAAAUUAAUUAAAGAUAUACUGUUUCUGUUUUCACAAGGUUUAACUUCCUAUUUUGCCAUAAAAAUGAGAUCUUCAUUACUUCAAUUCAGACAAAGUAAAAUGGAAUUCUUCGAAUACUACAUCACCAAACGUUACAAACCAUCAGAAAAUCGAAUUAAAGCUAUCAAUGCUUACACUAUCAAGGAUCUACACUGUUUUCUCGAAAUAGUAAUCUACAUAUUAUCGAGCAUAUAUUCUAACACCAAAUCUGAGCUUCAUAUAAUGAACAACUAAAAUACGACAAAACACCAAUUGAGUGGACCCAAGUAUCAAUCGAAUCUUUUUAAAACUUAAGAAGAUCAGCGUCUUCAAUGCAAUAAUAAUACCAUGCAUCUUGCUAAUUACCACAUUUCUAUUCUUAAUCGAUAUUUCAGAUCGGAGAUACUGUGGAUCAGAAAAGAAAUAAAGAAUGGAAAUCGCUAGCUUUUUUCAUGUAAAUGAAGCAAAACAAAAAAUAACUAUAGCACAUAUAUCAUGAACUGCUUAUCAUCUUUGUAGACAUGAUGGAAAUCUAGUAUCUAGCUACAAUUAUUCGCUUUGACCUGUGAAAAGUUUGGACAAUUGCACGACAAUUACCGCACAUGAUAAAUUCACCAAAUGAUCCAGGUGAGAAAUUAUUAAUCAUUA